AGGGUUUGAUCCUGGCUCAGAAUGAACGUUGGCGGCGUGGAUUAGGCAUGCAAGUCGAGCGAGAAGUUUACUUCGGUAAAUGGACAGCGGCGAAAGGGACAGUAAUGUGUAGGUACCUACCCCCCGAUCUGGGAUAGCUGCGGGAAACUGCAGGUAAUACCGGAUAAUGUCUUCGGACCAAAGGUGUGAUUCCGUCAGGGGAGGGGCCUGCAUCCUAUUAGCUUGUUGGUGAGGUAAUGGCUCACCAAGGCAACGAUGGGUAGCGGGUGUGAGAGCAUGACCCGCGUCAUUGGGACUGAGACACUGCCCAGACAUCUACGGAUGGCUGCAGUCGAGAAUCUUCGGCAAUGGGCGAAAGCCUGACCGAGCGACGCCGCGUGCGGGAUGAAGGCCCUCGGGUUGUAAACCGCUGUCGUUGGGGAGGAAAUGCAAAAGGGUUAUCCCUUCUGUUUGACCGAUCCAAGGAGGAAGUACGGGCUAAGUUCGUGCCAGCAGCCGCGGUAAGACGAACCGUACGAACGUUAUUCGGAAUUACUGGGCUUAAAGGGUGCGUAGGCUGCACGGAAAGUUGGGUGUGAAAGCCCUCAGCUCAACUGAGGAAUUGCAUCCAAAACUGCCGUGCUUGAGGGAGACAGAGGUGAGCGGAACUCAAGGUGGAGCGGUGAAAUGCGUUGAUAUCUUGAGGAACACCGGUGGCGAAAGCGGCUCACUGGGUCUCCUCUGACGCUGAGGCACGAAAGC
rnacentral:rRNA from 1 species